UACGUAGGGUGCAAGCGUUGUCCGGAAUUAUUGGGCGUAAAGAGCUCGUAGGCGGUCUGUCGCGUCUGCUGUGAAAACUCAGGGCUUAACCCUGAGCUUGCAGUGGGUACGGGCAGACUAGAGUGCGGUAGGGGAGACUGGAAUUCCUGGUGUAGCGGUGAAAUGCGUAGAUAUCGAGAGGAACACCUGCGGCGAAGGCGGGUUGCUGGGCUGACACUGACGCUGACAGCGCGAAAGCUAGGGGAGCGAACGGG
rnacentral:rRNA from 1 species